rnacentral:rRNA from 1 species
GAUCAUGGCGUCAGGACGAACGCUGGCGGCAUGCUUAACACAUGCAAGUCGAACGAGAAUCUGUGGAUUGAGGAUUCGUCCAAAUGAAGCAGAGGACAGUGGCGGACGGGUGAGUAACGCGUGAGGAACCUGCCUUCAGAGGGGGACAACAGUUGGAAACGACUGCUAAUACCGCAUAAUGUAUCGAGAAGGCAUCUUCUUGAUACCAAAGCUUUAUGUGCUGAAAGAUGGCCUCGCGUCUGAUUAGCUAGUUGGUGGGGUAACGGCUCACCAAGGCGACGAUCAGUAGCCGGUCUGAGAGGAUGAACGGCCACAUUGGGACUGAGAUACGGCCCAGACUCCUACGGGAGGCAGCAGUGGGGAAUAUUGGGCAAUGGGGGAAACCCUGACCCAGCAACGCCGCGUGAAGGAAGAAGGCCUUCGGGUUGUAAACUUCUUUUAGCAGGGACGAAGGACGUGACGGUACCUGCAGAAAAAGCAACGGCUAACUACGUG